UACGUAGGCAGCGAGCGUUGUUCGGAAUUACUGGGCGUAAAGCGCACGUAGGCGGCUUUGUAAGUUAGAGGUGAAAGCCCGGGGCUCAACUCCGGAACUGCCUUUAAGACUGCAUCGCUUGAAUCCAGGAGAGGUGAGUGGAAUUCCGAGUGUAGAGGUGAAAUUCGUAGAUAUUCGGAAGAACACCAGUGGCGAAGGCGGCUCACUGGACUGGUAUUGACGCUGAGGUGCGAAAGCGUGGGGAGCAAACAGG
rnacentral:rRNA from 1 species